UACAGAGACUGCAAGCGUUAUUCGGAUUCACUGGGCGUAAAGGGUGCGCAGGCGGCCAAGUGUGUGAGGCGUGAAAGCCCGGGGCUUAACCCCGGAAUUGCACCUCAAACUACAUGGCUAGAGCAUUGGAGAGGGUAGCGGAAUUCACGGUGUAGCAGUGAAAUGCGUAGAUAUCAGGAGGAACACCGGUGGCGAAGGCGGAUCUCUGGGCCUUACCUGACGCUCAGGUGCGAAAGCCUAGGGGAGCGAACAGG
rnacentral:rRNA from 1 species